GAUGAACGCUAGCGGCAGGCUUAAUACAUGCAAGUCGAGGGGCAGCACGGGUAGCAAUACUGGGUGGCGACCGGCGCACGGGUGCGUAACACGUAUGUAAUCUGCCUAUAACUGGGGGAUAGCCCGAAGAAAUUCGGAUUAAUACCCCAUAGUAUUAUUGAGAGGCAUCUUUUGAUAAUUAAAGCUCCGGCGGUUAUAGAUGAACAUGCGACUGAUUAGCAGUUGGUGAGGUAACGGCUCACCAAGGCAACGAUCAGUAGGGGUACUGAGAGGUUAAACCCCCACACUGGUACUGAGACACGGACCAGACUCCUACAGGAGGCAGCAGUAAGGAAUAUUGGACAAUGGAGGCAACUCUGAUCCAGCCAUGCCGCGUGAAGGAAGAAGGCGCUACGCGUUGUAAACUUUCUUUUGUACCAGAGAAAAUCAUUGUACGUGUACGA
rnacentral:rRNA from 1 species